CCUACGGGCGGCAGCAGUGGGGAAUAUUGGACAAUGGGCGAAAGCCUGAUCCAGCCAUGCCGCGUGUGUGAAGAAGGCCUUCGGGUUGUAAAGCACUUUCAGUGGGGAAGAAAGCCUUGGGGCUAAUACCCUCGAGGAAGGACAUCACCCACAGAAGAAGCACCGGCUAACUCCGUGCCAGCAGCCGCGGUAAUACGGAGGGUGCGAGCGUUAAUCGGAAUUACUGGGCGUAAAGCGCGCGUAGGCGGUCUGAUAAGCCGGUUGUGAAAGCCCCGGGCUCAACCUGGGAACGGCAUCCGGAACUGUCAGGCUAGAGUGCAGGAGAGGAAGGUAGAAUUCCCGGUGUAGCGGUGAAAUGCGUAGAGAUCGGGAGGAAUACCAGUGGCGAAGGCGGCCUUCUGGACUGACACUGACGCUGAGGUGCGAAAGCGUGGGUAGCAAACAGGAUUAGAUACCCUAGUAGUU
rnacentral:rRNA from 1 species